AAAUAAGUAAGCUAAAAUAAGCUAUUAGGCUCAUACCCUAAAUAUAGAUCAAACUAAUCUCUUAUUUA
rnacentral:tRNA from 1 species